rnacentral:rRNA from 1 species
CAAUAGCGUAUAUUUAAGUUGUUGCAGUUAAAAAGCUCGUAGUCGGAUUUUGGCUGAGAACGAUCGGUCCGCCGUUAGGUGUGCACUGAUUUGUCUCAGCUUCCUGGUGAGGAGGUGUGCUUCACGGCCACUUAGUCACCGUGGUUACUUUGAAAAAAUUAGAGUGUUCAAAGCGGGCUUACGCUUGAAUAUAUUAGCAUGGAAUAACACCAUAGGACUCCUGUCCUAUUUCGUUGGUCUCGGGACGGGAGUAAUGAUUAAGAGGAACAGUUGGGGGCAUUCGUAUUUCAUUGUCAGAGGUGAAAUUCUUGGAUUUAUGAAAGACGAACUUCUGCGAAAGCAUUUGCCAAGGAUGUUUUCAUUGA